GUAGCGGGCACAGAAAGAGUUGGGCACAGGACUGGUUAAGUGUGGAUGGGGGUCAACUUGGAGGAAAGCAUAGCGGGGAUACUGCACAAAGGAAGCCAGCCCAGGAAGGGUCACCCUGUCCAACGUGUCCGAGCGGAAAGACAACAUGCGCCUCGGCCUUAGUCUCGCCACCAACCCCAAGGACAACAGCUUCCUGGCCUGCAGCCCCCUCUGGUCUCAUGAGUGUGGGAGCUCCUACUACACCACAGGGAUGUGUUCAAGAGUCAACUCCAACUUCAGGUUCUCCAAGACCGUGGCCCCAG
rnacentral:lncRNA from 1 species